GACGAACGCUGGCGGCGUGCCUAAUACAUGCAAGUAGAACGCUGAAGGAGGAGCUUGCUUCUCUGGAUGAGUUGCGAACGGGUGAGUAACGCGUAGGUAACCUGCCUGGUAGCGGGGGAUAACUAUUGGAAACGAUAGCUAAUACCGCAUAAGAGUAGAUGUCGCAUGACAUUUGCUUAAAAGGUGCAAUUGCAUCACUACCAGAUGGACCUGCGUUGUAUUGGCUAGUUGGUGAGGUAACGGCUCACCAAGGCAACGAUACAUAGCCGACCUGAGAGGGUGAUCGGCCACACUGGGACUGAGACACGGCCCAGACUCCUACGGGAGGCAGCAGUAGGGAAUCUUCGGCAAUGGACGGAAGUCUGACCGAGCAACGCCGCGUGAGUGAAGAAGGUUUUCGGAUCGUAAAGCUCUGUUGUAAGAGAAGAACGAGUGUGAGAGUGGAAAGUUCACACUGUGACGGUAUCUUACCAGAAAGGGACGGCUAACUACGUG
rnacentral:rRNA from 1 species